rnacentral:rRNA from 1 species
UGUGAAGGCCACACCACCUUGAAUGCACCCAACCUUAUCUGACCCCAGAAGCUCAGCAGGGUCAGGCCUGGUGAGUGCUUGGAUGAGAAGAGGAACAACGUGUGACUUUGGGC